AUUGAACGCUGGCGGCAGGCCUAACACAUGCAAGUCGAGCGGAUGAAGGGAGCUUGCUCCUGGAUUCAGCGGCGGACGGGUGAGUAAUGCCUAGGAAUCUGCCUGGUAGUGGGGGAUAACGUCCGGAAACGGGCGCUAAUACCGCAUACGUCCUGAGGGAGAAAGUGGGGGAUCUUCGGACCUCACGCUAUCAGAUGAGCCUAGGUCGGAUUAGCUAGUUGGUGGGGUAAAGGCCUACCAAGGCGACGAUCAGUAACUGGUCUGAGAGGAUGAUCAGUCACACUGGAACUGAGAUACGGUCCAGACUCCUACGGGAGGCAGCAGUGGGGAAUAUUGGACAAUGGGCGAAAGCCUGAUCCAGCCAUGCCGCGUGUGUGAAGAAGGUCUUCGGAUUGUAAAGCACUUUAAGUUGGGAGGAAGGGCAGUAAGUUAAUACCUUGCUGUUUUGACGUUACCAACAGAAUAAGCACCGGCUAACUUCGUG
rnacentral:rRNA from 1 species